rnacentral:rRNA from 1 species
AAUCCUGUUUGCUCCCCACGCUUUCGUGCAUGAGCGUCAGUCUUGACCCAGGGGGCUGCCUUCGCCAUCGGUGUUCCUCCACAUCUCUACGCAUUUCACUGCUACACGUGGAAUUCUACCCCCCUCUGCCAGACUCCAGCCUUGCAGUCUCCAACGCAAUUCCCAGGUUGAGCCCGGGGAUUUCACGUCAGACUUACAAAACCGCCUGCGCACGCUUUACGCCCAGUAAUUCCGAUUAACGCUUGCACCCUACGUAUUACCGCGGCUGCUGGCACGUAGUUAGCCGGUGCUUAUUCUUCAGGUACCGUCAUUAGCCAAGGGUAUUAACCCCGGCCGUUUCUUCCCUGACAAAAGAGCUUUACAACCCGAAGGCCUUCUUCACUCACGCGGCAUUGCUGGAUCAGGCUUGCGCCCAUUGUCCAAAAUUCCCCACUGCUGCCUCCCGUAGGAGUCUGGGCCGUGUCUCAGUCCCAGUGUGGCUGGUCGUCCUCUCAGACCAGCUACUGAUCGUCGCCUUGGUGAGCCUUUACCUCACCAACUAGCUAAUCAGACAUCGGCCGCUCCAAAAGCAUGAGGCCUUGCGGUCCCCCACUUUCUUCCGUAGAACGUAUGCGGUAUUAGCGUAACUUUCGCUACGUUAUCCCCCACUUCUGGGUACGUUCCGAUGUAUUACUCACCCGUUCGCCACUCGCCGCCAGGUUGCCCCGCGCUGCCGUUCGACUUGCAUGUGUAAAGCAUGCCGCCAGCGUUCAAUCUGAGCCAGGAUCAAACUC